rnacentral:rRNA from 1 species
UACGUAGGGAGCAAGCGUUGUCCGGAAUCAUUGGGCGUAAAGCGCGCGUAGGUGGCCUCAUAAGUCCGCUGUGAAAGUCAAAGGCUCAACCUUUGAAAGCCGGUGGAUACUGUGAGACUAGAGUACGGAAGAGGCGAGUGGAAUUCCUGGUGUAGCGGUGGAAUGCGUAGAUAUCUGGAGGAACACCGGUGGCGAAGGCGGCAUCCUGGACCGGUAUUGACGCUGAGGCGCGAAAGCCAGGGGAGCAAACGGG